AAUGAGGUGUCUGGCUGAAGUCUGUUAAACUGUCCCUGGUGCUCCACUGUACCAGGGUCUCCAGAGGCAGAGAGGCACCACUCAGUGGAGAGGAGACAGCAAAUGCACACUCAAGUAUAUGGAAAUGAAUGGCCACCCUUACUUUCAGCCGUGCUGGAGAGAGGCUUCAGAGUGCAGACAGCUCUAUAGCCUACAGGUCUUUCUCUGACAAGCAGGGGCAGAGUUUGGCUUCAGUCAGACUGGCAAACUGGAUUGGUCCUGAAGAACAGGACUCAAGCACCUGGAAAGUGCUGAGCGUGCUCAGACAAUGACAUUUUUCCUCAUGACAGAAAUUCCUGCUAUCAGUUCCUGAGUGGACUGGACAAAGAAAAGGAACAAUUCACGUGGCCCAUCUGAGAUGUUCCAGCUACCUGUCCAAUACUUCAAAACAGUUGGAGCCCCAUUUUUUCUUUGCUUCAAAGUCCACAUCCAUUAGGCUCAACAAGAAGUAACAGGACUGUUACCAAAUAGGGAAAAAAACUUUAAAAAAAUAACAAAAAAUUAAAACAAUGGAAAUUUAUUUU
rnacentral:lncRNA from 12 species